rnacentral:rRNA from 1 species
UUUCAUGGAGAGUUUGAUCCUGGCUCAGGACGAACGCUGGCGGCGUGCCUAAUACAUGCAAGUCGAGCGAAUCUUGAGGUGCUUGCACCUCUUGGUUAGCGGCGGACGGGUGAGUAACACGUGGGCAACCUGCCUGUAAGACUGGGAUAACAUCGGGAAACCGAUGCUAAUACCGGAUAAUCCUUUUCCUCUCAUGAGGGAA